CUAUGGUACAUUGCAAUUUCCUUUCCCAUCAAGGGCCGGUGACUGUCGCCAAAACGCUGGAUUACGAGAAGGUGUAACGUUAUUAUCUAACCAACGUCGCAGCGGUUUUUCAUAAAUUUAUUAAGCACAAAAAUAUCUUGCCCAAAACGAUAGCAGCAAAUGCUCGACAUGCAGGCAGUGCAACAUAUCGGCAAUCAGGAAUCAUUAGAAGCCACCAAAUAAUAUCAACACUUAAGUGUUAAAUAUAUACAAAGAGGAAUCACUAACAUUCCAGUAUCGCCGACUAAGACGCCUAAUAUAAGUCAGUAUUAUAUAACUUAGCUUAAGCGAGGUGUUGUUGACAACGGUGCUUUGUAAUGAUGAGGAAUCGAAAUGACAGCAACGAAUGAAAUUUAAUUCAAUUUAUAUUUUCAUUUUCUGCAAGUGACUGCUAUAGGAUGAGCGCAAUGCCAUUCCACUCGAAGAGUCUCGAAGAAUUAUAUGACAUUCGCUUUAUGAGAACUGCUUCUGGGAAAAAAAAUGGUGUGCGCGAGGAAACUGCUCAGG